GGUAUCGCUUCCCGCAGCCCCGCUGCCUUUCCCGCCUCUCCCGCUGGGGAAGCCUUCGCCCGCUCCCCUUGCAAGAUGGGGUGCGGGCCGAGGGGCGUUUCGGGGAGCCUCUGAGCUCCUUCGUAAACCCCUGGCCUUCGCUCUCCUGGCGUCUCCCAGGCCCCGAGGUGGAGCCGCGCCUGGCAGCGGUGACUUCCUGGGAGACUCGGGCUAGCCCGGGAGCAUCACUCCCAGGCUUCUCCUCAGUUCUUCGGAGCGCUUGCUGUCCCCUGCCGAGUUUUUAAACAAAGGUUCCACUUCCUGACACGUCCACCCUAACUAACGCUUCUCCUCCUGUUUUCCUUCCCUGUUGACUUUCUUACAGAGGAGGCUUUGUCUCCAGUGUGCUGGGCAUUGGAAAACUUAAUCCUCUUGUUCCUAAUGAUUUUUCCAUAUAGGCAGAGUUGACUGCAGGCCAGUGUCAAUGGCAAACACCGAGAAAUGCUGUAUUUCUCUUAAUCUUGGAACAUAGAUUAAGUGAAAUAUUAACACUACUUUCUUCAGUGUUUUCUGUAUUCAUCUGUAGACAGACAAGAAAGUAGUGUACAUGCAGAAUGUGUUUUUGCGUUGGGCAAUUGAUGGGGGAAAAAGUAUUAAGAACACUUUUCUAAUAUGUGCGUCUUCAGAAGAAUGAGGGGGAAGAAGUUAUUGGAAGGCUUCCUGUUAUUUGGGUAGGAAACCAUUCCGUUUCAGAUCUUUCUAAUAGGAGCAUAACUUGUUUCUGUGUUGGAGUUUCUGUUCUUGAAAUUCAUACACAAAGAUCUUCCCUCUCCAGUUAAUCAAUAUCUGCUACAUAAACAUGUAUGUAGUAUAUGUAUAUGUGCGAAUGCAUGUGUGUUCAGUAUGAAUUUCUGAGUGUGUGAGCUGUGAGUAGCAGACACAUUUUAUUAUUUCUGGCUGACUUUUAUACUCAAUAUCAGUUGAGUAAACAUGGUUUACCUGGACGGUGUCUCGUGUUUAAUAUAUCCAUUUGAAGCCAGUGCAGAAAACAGAUGUCAAAUAUCUCAGUAUUACAGUUUUUACUACCAAAUAGUAACAUUUUUGUGUAUAUGUUGGCUGUAUUAAAAAAGGAAAUAGAAUAUGAAACUGAAAAGGACCAAGAGAAGAAAGUAUUUUGCAGAUAAGUGAAUUCAACUUUUAUUAAGGAACUGCUGUAUAUUGGAGACUUGGGGUGAAAAAAUAAAUGAGAUGUUAUUGUUGAGUGAUGGCUGGAAAUAAUUAUAUUACUAUGUAAGUGUCUGCAGACUGCAUAGAUGCAGUGGGAGCACAUAGAUGUUGUAGUGGUUUGAAUCAUGCCUCCCAGAAAGAUAUGUUCAAGUUCAAACUCCCUAGAGUCUGUGAAUAUGACCUUAUUUGGAAAUAGAAUUUUUGCAGAUGUAAUCAAGUUAUUACUGAUUUAGGAUAACUCUAGUGCAAUGAUUGACAUCCUAAGAAGGUAAAAAUUUGGAACUGGAGGGAGAAUAUCAUAUGAAUACAGGAGAGAAAAUGAAGUGAUGUAUUUGUAAGCCAAAGAACACUAAAGAUUGAGGACAACAUUAGAUAUUUAGGAAAAGGUAUAAAAGGACUGUCCCUUGAAGCCUUGAGAGGGAAUACAGCCUGUCAACACUUUGAUUUCAGAAGUCUAUUCCCCAGAAAUGUGAGAAAAUAAAUUUCUGUUCUGAGUUACCCAGUGUGUGGUUCUUUGUAAUGGCAAUCCUAGGAAACUAAUAUAGAUAGGAUUGCUUAACCCCAUUCCAGGGAGGAGGAGGGCUGUUUUUACAGAAUAGCAGUGCUUCAAACAUAAACUAAAGGGGUCCAUAAGGCUUCAUGUGCUGAGGGAUAGGGCUCAAGUGGAAUAUAUUCCAGUGGAGAGAACAAUGUGAUGUGGGACAGGGGGCAAGAAAGAACUUGCCUUGUUUUUUUAAGGAGAGUGAGCAGGGUUGAAACUGGCAAAGAAGUUGGGGUACGUGGUGGAACAACUUGUAGGCUGUGGAAGUAAUUACAAAUUGGUGACACCAGCUGUGUGUAUAUUUGAAAGGUCUUUGCUGUGUCAGGAGGAUGGAUUGGAAGAGUUACGGUUGGCAGCUGGCAAGAGAUGAUAAGAAUUUGCAUUUGGACAGUAGGAGAGAGUUCAAGAGAAGAGGGUAGAUUGAGUGAAGUCAGAAGUACUGAGCCACCCUGACUUACUGAUUUACUUGCAAGGUAGAUUGCAGCUCUGGUCGGUCCUCAGAUAGAACCUCCAAAGGGAAGAAGAAGUGCAAGGUUGGGAGGAGUGAGUGGGUUUGGACUACUAUAACAGAUAGAACACAGACUAGGUGGCUUAAGGUCAUUUUUUCUGACAGUUCUGAAGACUGGGAAGUCCAAGAUCAAGGUGCAGGCAGAUCUGCUGUCUGGUGAGGGCCUGUUUCCUGCUUUGCUGAUGGCUGUUUAAGAAUCUUCACAUGGUGGGGCGGGGUGUGGGGGGGUGAAGAUAAGAACCCUUUAUGGAGACUCCACACUCAUGACCUCCUCUAAACCUAAUUACCUCCCAAAGACUCCCAUUUCUAGUACUGUCUCAUCAGGAGUUAAGACUUAAAUAUAUGAAUUUAGCCGGUAUACAAACAUGCAGUUCAUAAUAAUAGUCAUUUGCUAGUCAAAAGUAACAAUAAAAUAAGUAAAUUGCUACAUUGCUUAAAAUUUGGGAAUUUUUUUCUCUUAAGUGGAAAUUUUAUUGAGAUGUAUUCACAUACUAUAAAAUCAGUCUUGUUAGUGUAAAAUUCCAUGGCUUUUGGUGUAUUUACAAGGUUAUGUGAUCAUCACUAUCAUUUAAUUCUGUAACAUUUUAUAACCUCCCCCGAAAACCUCUGUAUCCAUAAGUAGUCACUCCUCAGUCCCUCUGGUUCCUCUACCUCCUGGGAACCACUGAUAUGGAACUUUUAACUCUUGGCUUUAUAUUUCACAGCUCUUGUGGCAUUAUCCUUCACUGGGGCUAUUGGGCUGACUUUUCUUAUGCUGGGAUGUGCCUUGGAGGAUUAUGGGUAAGUAACCAUUUCAAAAAGAACUAUUUUUUUUUGUGUGUCUUUGUUACUAUUAGUAUGGGAAUUAGAGAACUUGAUCAAUUUAGCACCAAUCUCUAAUUCUUGAGUUAGUGAAGCCAAAAUUAUGGAUUCAGUCCCUGAUUCAGGGUCAGGUGUAUUGGUGCAGAGAAGAGUUCUUUUUAAAGUAAAUGUAUUCAUUUAAUAAACUGUUGAACUCCUACCUGGACCAGCUGGGGAUAUGAGAAUGAGUUUGGUUAAGGAGCAUUUGGUUAUAGUUGUGAGAGACUGGCAAACUGUUCAGUCAAUAAGACAGCAGCUGUAGUGGAGAUGUGUGCAAAGUACAGUGGGAACUUCGAGAAAGUACAUCUCAGCCAGGCACAGUGACAUAUACUGUAAUUCCAGCAACUUGGUGGGUGGGGAGACUGAGGCAGGAGGAUUGCAAGUUUGAGACCAGCCUCAGCAACUUAGCAAGAACCUCAGAAGAGACCCUAUCUCAAAAUAAAUACCUAAGAAGGACGGGAAUGGAGCUCAGUGGGAAAGUACCCCUGGAUUCAAUCCCUAGUACCAAAAAAAGAAAAAAAAUAGAGGGAGAGAGAGGUUGAGGGAGUAAUCUCAGUUUCCUGGGGACAGUCAUGGAGAGCUGCAAAGCAGGGGUAUUUAAGGUAAGAGUUGGUGCAUAAAUAAGAGUUUCUCCAGCUGAUGAAACAAUAGAGGGCAUUCCAGGGAGAAGGAACAGUCAACAACUUUCUUUAUUCAACAGCUCACAAAGGGAGGUUUGGAAAGUAUGUGAUCAGCCUCUGCAUAGCAUCUGGAGGAGGUUAGGUUUUGUAGUGCAGACAGGGAGCUGGGAAAAUAUCUUGAAAAUGGGUGUGGCAGGAGGGCAUUUUGUUAACAAGUCAUUCUGGCCAAAAUGUGAGACUAGAUAGGAAAGUGCUGAGACUACAGUCAGGUAGAAUAUUCUAAGGGGCCAUUAUCAUGAACCAAACAAAACUGAGGCCUGUGGCAGUGGGAUAGAGAGAAAAGGAGAGUGGUAUUGGCAGUAGAAAUAAUAGGUAUUAUUAAUUGAUGUCAAGACCGAACUAGGGAGAGUUCCUGGAUGUCUUAGCUGAUUGGCUUGAACAAAUUGACAGAAGAUGGUGUGACUAAGACCAACUGGAGUUAACGACAUUGAUAAAAGUUCAAAUUUAUCGUGGAUGAAUUAAAAAGAACUAUCACAGGAAUUCCUAAAUAUAAUCUAAGCAAUAAUUUAUAUUUGCUCAGAACUUUCCUAGCUGCUGCUUUAUUCUAGUCUUAGGGAUAAAAGUUAUCCUCAUAGCUAGGAAACCAAAAUCUGGAGUAGUUAAAGAUUUUCCCAAAUUAUACAGCAAUAAAUAAGUGGCAGAGAUGGGAGUGAAAUCCGUGUUCUGAUUCUCUUGACCAAAAGUUUUUCCAUUCCUUUACUAGUUCUAAAUUCAGGUGUUUUAAUUCUCUGUGAUACACUCACUUUGUCUCUGUAAGGUUAAAAAAAAAUCCAUUACUAUUACAAAGAAAUUAAUUUUAUGUCUUCACAAUGGUGACUCAUGAUGAUACCACAUGUCAGCAAACUGGCCCACAGGCCAAAUAUAACCUGCUGCCUAUUUUUUAUAAUUAGUUUUAUUGGAACACAGCCAACCUCAUGUGUUUGGCUAUUUUGGGUUGUUUUGUACUACAAUGAGAGUUGAGUAGUUGAGACAGAGACUUUAUUGCUUGCAAAGCCCAAAUAUUUACCAUUUGGAUCUUUACAGAAAUAUUUGUAAGCCCUUGGCCUACACAUUUACUGACUAGUACUAAGUUUAAUGUUUAAAUUUUGUAUAUAAACAAGUUUUCUUCUACAUAAACAGUUCUCUUAGUUAGACAUUGUUUUCAAUUACUAUAAUUGGAAACAGUCUUUCAGAUUAUUUUUGAAAAAACUGUCACUGUAUUCCAGGAGAAUUAAGAGCUCUUAGCUGUGGGCAUAUCAGGUGACAGCUGGGUCUGUUCUAGGCUCUUCCUCUAUCUCUUUUCCUUGUUGGUAAAAUGAGGACUUUGAUCUAGAGAUUCUCUUAUUAGUGUUCCUUGCUGCAAUAUUGUUUGGUUAUUCUUGAAACAUACUAUAAUCUAUUUUAAAAUUGGAACUCUAUACUCAGUGGUUUCAGCCUGAAUUUUUUUGAUGAAGGACCCUUUCCCUGCUCUUUGGUACCAUCCUGCCUCCUCAAUGACUGUGGCUGAAAGGGGAGACGUUUAAUAUCAUGGCUUCACCCUUGCUCAGAGGUGCUGGCUCUCUGGGUGGGUCAGUGUUAUCACAGUUUUGUGGUAAUGUGGUAAUGUGUAAUAUUAUGGUGUGUAUUUAUAAAAAUGAGUAAAGACUUUUCCCUUAAGGAAUGAAGCAUAAGAAAUGUCUGAUGAAGAAAAGAUUAUUUUUAUUGUUUUUUUAAGUUAUACAUGAAUAGAUUAUUUUUGAAGUAUGCAUAGAGAAAAUACAAUUGAAAAUCAGAUAAUAAAAAUUUUUAAUAAAUGCAAAGUAGUGAAAUUUGGAAAGAAAAUAGUUUUAUUAUUUUGCAUUAUAGUAUUAUUGUGAUCUACCAUAAUAAUCAUUGGAGUACAUCUAAUGUUUUUACUAGGGAACUAAUGUGUUUUCAUACCUUUCAUACUUAAAAUUUAUUUAUUUUUUUCUUUCAUUCAACAAGUAUAAAUGGAGGACCUCAUUGUAGGCCCUGGAGAUAAGUAAUGAUUGACCCAAACAAAUCUAAUCUCUGUUCUCAUAAUCAAGAAAAUAUCAGAUGGGAAUAGGAGCGUUGCAGAAAAUUAGAAGUGGGUGGUAUACUCAAGGUUGACCUCAAGUACUUAAGAAUGAGUGGCCAGUGAAGCCACUUUUAGAAAGGGACAUUUCAAUUAUGAUUGCUAUGAAGAGGAAAGAGGAUUGCAAGCAAAGGGCACAGCUGGUACAAAGGCCCUAAGGCCAAUAUGAAGGCUUCUGAAGAGAAUUCUCUUCAUUCUCUUAAGAGGCUGAGAGAAUGAAGAGAACAUGGUGCAAAAUGAAUGGAAGAGAAUGAAGUUAAGAGAAUAUGGUGCAAAAUGAAUGGAAGAAGUAGGUGGUACCAGAUCAUGAAAGUUUUUGUGGAGCAGGGCAGGGAAUUUGGGUUUUAUUCUAAAUCAUUGAAAGCCUUCAAGUAUACAUGCACACAAAAGAUCUUCAUUAAAUUAGCAAGUACAAGCCACUGUACUAGAUUCUUUAGGGAAAGAGAGAUGACUGUUAAGAUUUAUGCUCUUACAGAAAUUGCAGGUCAGUUAUACAGAAAACAAUGUUUCUUGAUUAUACAUUGUGUAGACAUUUCUUAACACAAACUAUAUACAUAUUAAUGAACCAAUAAUAGUUUAAUCAUCACUAACCUAUUCCUGGUAGAAAUCAUCCUAUAUUAUAGUAUUCACAAUUGAUUCAUUAAUUUUUUGAACUUGACAUUUAGAAUAAUUAUUUUGAGGCAAUAGUAUGUCUUUAACUGUGACUUUUCUUUUUGGGUCUCCUCUGGGUCCAACUGACAGUGUAUACUGGCCCUUGUUCGUCCUGAUUUUCCACGCCAUCUCCCCUAUUCCCCAUUUCAUCGCCAAAAGAGUCACAUAUGACUCUGACGCAACCAGUAGUGCCUGUCGGGAACUGGCGUAUUUCUUCACUACUGGGAUUGUUGUUUCUGCCUUUGGAUUUCCUGUUAUUCUUGCACGUGUGGCUGUGGUAAGUUUUGUCUUCUAUUGUUUUGUUUGUGUUGAGAAUUUAUUUGAAAAGCCUGUGUUAGGGACCUCAGUUUCAUUUUUGUUGCUUAGACUUUUUUCUCAAGACCAGAUAAAUUUUUUACUUUCUCUACUUUAGAUCUACUUUUCAGUAUCUUGACCAUGUUUUCAGAUUGCUUUCUUUGUUUCCCCUACAACUUUUAGCCAGAUCAUGAUUUCUUGUUUUUUCUACUUUAAGCUUUCUCUAUUAUUGUUCUUAAAUCCCUGCCUGUUGAGUCAUUAGGCAGUACACAGAGACUAUACUAGCAAUACUAAUCUAACUACUAAAUGAAAAUCAUAUCAAAUUACUUUGCAAAUGAGGUCAUGGACUUCAUUCUCAAUACAAUAGGCGUACAUUGAGGGGUAUCUAUGUAGCUACUAGAAGAUACAGUGAAUAAAAUGACACCUUCACAUCUGACAUAGAAAUUUUCUUUUUAUCUCCAAAGCACACAUUAUUGGUAUACUUUGUUGGAUUCAUUGUUGUUCAUUGUGUUUUCUACUCUUUGCUUUUAUUCUGCUCAACUCUAUUUAAAUUUCAUGAAACUCUUAUUAGGGGCUUUGAAUGUUAGGUAUGUGCACAUCUUGUCUAUUUGUUAAAUAUUAAAUAUCUUUGGAAUAUCUGCCGUUUGUAAAACAUCAGGAAUAAGAGUAGAUACUAGUUUCCUUAGUAUCUACUGUCUCUGUUCCCAAAGAAUACAGACACUGUCCUGAUAGGUAAGUAUACUAUAGAUGUACUAAAUAGAGUAAUUGAAACCUGAUCAGAAUGUCAGAGGAGCACCAAGAAGAGAGAAAUUAUAACUGACCUUUGACAGGGCCUGUAAAGAUAAAUAGGGUUUUAAUUAAAGUAAAGAAGACUUUUAUAUGGAAUGGCACCCUAUUGUGAAAAUGCAUGUUAUGGAAUAGAGAACAGUCCAAUAUAAUGGAACAAAAAAAGAGUAGUUGAGAUUAAAGUUAGUAAUGUUGGUGAAGCCCGAUUAGCAAGGAUCUUGAACUCCUUGCCAGUUUCAACUUUAAUAAGAUGAUGGAAAAGAAUUGAAUAUUUUCAAUGCAAGAUUGUCAUGGCCUUGUUAUUCUUGUGCCUUGGACUAACUCUUCCUUAGUUUCACUAUAAAUAUUUAUUUUUUUCCUUUUAAUACUGCCAUCAUGUUUUGGGAAGAAACUUUCAUUGAUGUUUCCGUUGGUUAAAUUAAAGCACAAAAUGCCCACUAGAGGGUACUCUCAUCCCCAGUUGUGCUUCUGUAAAACCUUCUGCCAAGUUGGAAAGCUGUUUUCAUUUGAAUGCAGAUUAUUAUUAAAGUUUUUACUUGCCUAGAAAAAAGCAAACAGAUCCAUAAUGCUCCAAUUCCUGUUUUCCAUGAAAGAGGUCGGUGCAUGCAGAAUUUUCAGUACCAAUAUUAUAAUUGAACCAUUUAUAAUCAUACUACAAGUAUUUUGCUUAAGGCAGUCAUUGUCAUCUGAAAAUAAGCAGAGAAAUAUAUCUAAUAGGGAAAAUGUUAAGGAUGAUACUAGACUUAAUUAACAAGUAUCACAGAAGCAAUUAGACUAAUUACUGAAUAGUUCACUGUCCUCUGCCUGUUACAUUACUAAGCCUUUUAGCAGCUUUCUGUAAUAUUCCAUUGGAUGUUUCUAAUAUAGAUAAUAGUAGAGAUUUGCAAAAAGUAAGGAUUUAAUUCUUUUUUUUCUUUCUUGUAUUUCAGAUCAAAUGGGGAGCUUGUGGCCUUGUGCUGGCAGGCAAUGCUGUCAUUUUUCUUACAAUUCAAGGUUUUUUCCUGGUAUUUGGAAGAGGAGAUGAUUUUAGCUGGGAGCAAUGGUAGCACUUUAUUUUGAUAGAGAACAUUGUAUUCCUUAAGAUUUGUACUGUAUGUAUAUGUGUGUGCAUGUGGUGUUUUACUAUGGGAUUUAAUAUGCUGUUUUUUUUAUACCUUUAUAUCAUGAUCACUUUAAGGAAGACUUCCUAAGUAAAAGAUGAGUUUAAUUCCUAGAUAAUGGACCUCAGCUUUUACUGAAGUUGAAAUAUGUUAUUUGUUUGGCUGUUCACAUAGUUAUGUUCUCAGAAAACAUAUUAACACAGUCUUUUAGACAGCUGCUCAUUUAUACAGGCCAUCUAAACCUUUUGUGUGGAGGUGUGCUUAGAUAGGUGAAGACACUGAAGCAGGUCUUUUAUAGCUCAGAAACACUUGGCUCCCACUGUGUUGUAGACCCUUGCUUCUUAGAAUGUGGUCCAUAGACCAAGAACACCAGCAUCUCCUAGCUUAUUGGAAAUAUAAAAUCUGAAGCUCUCCUGCCCACCACCCAGACCCAGUGCAUUUUGAUGAGAUCCCAAGUGAAUCAUAUUCACAUUAGAGUUUGAGGAACUUUGUUAUAAACAUCACACCUAGCUUCCUUGUCUUCCCCUUGGAUCGAUCACUUACCCUCUCUGGGAGUCCUGCUCAUUUGUGGGAAAAAAAUUCCCUUAUGUUGAGGAGGAGUUCAGACUCUCUUUGGUGUUUGUGAACUGUUCCAAACUGUAAUAUAUGGGCAAUUUCCCAAAUUUGUGGAAAGUGUUUUCAGUGGGAAGCAAAGUCCUCACAUCAUCUGAAAGGCAGUGCCUUUUUCACAGUGCUAGGGCACAAAAUAACCCAAGCCCCAUUGGUAUGCAGGAGAGGAAGGCUGGGCUGGAACCAGCCCCUGCUUUAGUUAUGAGGAGAGAAGAAUAGAUAGGCAUCGCUUUUAAGUUUCCCUUAUUAGUCUUGCACUUCUUCCCAGCCCCUUCCUAAUGCUACCUUAUCCCAACUCCUCAGCAGUUCUGAUUUGCCAUUUCUUCUUGAUGGCUCUGCCCUUCUCCUUUCUAAAGAAAUAUUGGAGCCAAGUGAGCAAGCCAAAAGCAAACUGCUGGAGUUUAUUUACAUGUUGAUGUACUUAAUGGUACUUCAUUCAGAACUUUACUCCACCUUUAAAUAAAUCAUUGGAAAUAAAUGUCAUAUUGUAUCUUAUGAUCAUAGUUUUUCUAACUCAUCUUUUUGUCCAAGACCCAUUGAGAAAAGAAAAUAUAAGAAAUAGAACCAUUUGAUAAGAAGAAAGCCAGUGGUUUUUAAACAUUAAUGUGGUUGUUGAUAUAUGUACAAAGCACUUCCAUCUUGAGGUUUGUGAUGUUAGUAACCAGCACACCCUUUGUGUGUUGGUGUGAUAUUGGAACCAGAAGAGAAAAGUGAUAUCUAAAAGAAUAAUGUGCAAUGUUGGUUUUUGGCCUUGUAUGUGAUUUUAUGUUUUUUAAUAUUCUGUGUACAUAUAGAAUUGUUGAAGUUAUUUGCAAUAUUUACAUUGGGAAAAUUACUUAGAUACUUUGUAAUUUUAACUGGCAUUUUUAAUCAUGACACUUGCACUUAUUGUAUUAUAAUAAAUUUCAC
rnacentral:lncRNA from 1 species